rnacentral:rRNA from 1 species
UGGGGAAUAUUGGACAAUGGGCGAAAGCCUGAUCCAGCCAUGCCGCGUGUGUGAAGAAGGUCUUCGGAUUGUAAAGCACUUUAAGCGAGGAGGAGGGUACUGGUAUUAAUACUACCAGGUACUGGACGUUACUCGCAGAAUAAGCACCGGCUAACUCUGUGCCAGCAGCCGCGGUAAUACAGAGGGUGCGAGAGUUAAUCGGAUUUACUGGGCGUAAAGCGCGCGUAGGUGGUUCGUUAAGUUGAAUGUGAAAGCCCCGGGCUCAACCUGGGAAAUGCAUCCAAAACUGGCGAGCGAGAGUAGGGCAGAGGGGGGUGGAAUUUCCUGUGUAGCGGAGAAAUGCGUAGAUAUAGGAAGGAACACCAGUGGCGAAGGCGACCACCUGGGCUCAUACUGACACUGAGGUGCGAAAGCGUGGGGAGCAAACAGG